GAAGCUGCGUGGCCGCGUUUAAAUUACUGGGCGGCCCCUUUGUACCCUAUAUAUGGGCAGGGGGACGACUACUUUUGGUGCGCUUCCUGUCCCCCCUCCUUUCUGCUGUGACUUCCGUGCCGGCAGCGUUCAGCGUGGAGUUUAGCGUGACUGUUUGGAUUACUUCUCAUGAGUUUAAGGUAUCUGUUCACAGCAUUACGGGAUAACGUGGUAGUUGGCUUAAUUACUAACUCCUCGUAUUUGUUUGUAGUCGCGGGCUCGUAUUCGAUUGCCGGCUCAGCGCUGUGGUAUGCAUCUCUGAUGUUGCCUGGGCACUUUCACUUUAGAAAGUGUUAGUGAUUGUGCUGCCUUGCUGCGGGCAUUGUCUGCUGGAGCUGUUUGCUGUAGCCAUUGUCAGCUGGAGCUGCUGUGUGUUAUUACCUGCUGCUGUCUGCUGUGGCCAUUGUUUGCUGUGGCUGCUGGCAGAAAUUGAUGCUGUGCUGGAGCUGGGGGCCAAGCAUCUGACUUGGGGAUGUGGAAUUCUAUUCACCUUUCCUGUAGUGUGGAGCACGUUGGGUGUGAUUGAGAUGUGUGGCACUGACAUGUGUGGUUUGUAGUGUAGAGGAUAUUCCUAUCCCUGUACUUCCUUCGGUCGUGGUAAGCCCUUAACCCAGUUCCUUCCUAAAUUGUUACUGGUAGUUUAAAUAAAUUAUUGCUAGUUCUUUUUUUUAUAUUGAUUCUCCAAGAAGGGAAUUCCUGGUCUGCCUGGUGGAAAAGAUGUUUUAAAAUAAUUGUCAAUAAAUCUCUAUUAAAUGAUUGUA